rnacentral:rRNA from 1 species
GACGAACGCUGGCGGCGCGCUUAACACAUGCAAGUCGAGCGGGAACCAGGGCUUCGGCCCUGGGGAAAGCGGCGAACGGGUGAGUAACACGUGAGUAACCUGUCCUCGGCACCGGGAUAGCCCGGGGAACCCGGAUUAAUACCGGAUGGCCUUUCGAGUCCUCGGACUCGUCAGAAAAGGUAGCUUCGGCCUCCGGCCGAGGAGGGACUCGCGGCGGAUUAGCUUGUUGGUGAGGUAACGGCUCACCAAGGCGACGAUCCGAGCUGGUCUGAGAGGACGAUCAGCCACACUGGGACUGAGACACGGCCCAGACUCCUACGGGAGGCAGCAGUGGGGAAUCUUGCGCAAUGGGCGAAAGCCUGACGCAGCGACGCCGCGUGCGGGAAGAAGGCC